GAUGAGUUUAACGAGCUCAGUGACUCCGCAGUGGACCCGUUGCCCUCAAAGGCGUAGGUCUGCAGAGAGUCAUAGGGGGGCGCCGUCAGGUCCACAUCUGCCUCCUGCAGCCUGUUCCGGAUGAACUCCUGGAACAGCAUGUUCCUUUCCGCCCUGUACUCCGGGGUUUUGGCGAGGAGUCCCGGCAGGUUGUUGUCGGGGUCUCGGCGGGGUGGGUUUGGUUUGUUCAGGUGUCUCAGUGCGAACAUGUCGAAGGCCUCGGUGUCCUCCUCGCCGCCGCCUUCAUCAUCGUAGUGAACGAUGUUCUCACGAAUGUCCCGCUCGUCGUCCAUCAUCAGAGGCUCCCUCCUACUGCGUCUGACAGCUGCUACGACCACGAUGACACCUGAGGAGACAGGUCACAGUGAAACGGGUUCUGGUCUUACCCAGUAGUACGAGGAUGCAGGUGAGGACCGUGGCAGCGGCGGCGGAGCUGAGGCCGACCAGCAGCAGCGCCGCUCCCCGGCUGCAGGAGCGGCGGUUUCCAUGGGCGUCGCAGUCGCAGACUGUGAUGGAGAGCGAGUUGGUGCUGCUGAGAGACGGACUGCUGCCGUCUGAAAUCACCACCGGCAGGAAGUGAACCGGCUGAUCCCGCCACAGGAAACCACCCUGCCGAGUCAGGACAGACGCCGUGUUGUCUGAGGACAGACGGACAAGAGGAAGCUAGAUGAAAGAACGCUGAGUCAUUAUCAGUUCUCUACAAAGUCACUAAGUGAAGUGUCCACCCCUAGCUGUCAAUUACAAAGUGAUGCUGCUAUGGUUACACGAGGUUCACCUGCCUGUAGGUGGCGCUCUUUUUUCUGUCUGCUCACGAUGGAUGCUACAGCUCAGUUCGUCUCCCGCAAACAGAACCUCUGAGUGUGUGGUGUCGGUGUAGGACACAGAGAGACUUGUUAUGAAGAUAUUAAGCUGCCUGCAUUCUGCUCAGACUGCGGCAACUAACACCAACAUUAUAAAUUUGGUUUCAGUCUUUA